rnacentral:rRNA from 1 species
AGUCGAGCGGUAGAGAGGUGCUUGCACCUCUUGAGAGCGGCGGACGGGUGAGUAAUACCUAGGAAUCUGCCUGGUAGUGGGGGAUAACGUUCGGAAACGGACGCUAAUACCGCAUACGUCCUACGGGAGAAAGCAGGGGACCUUCGGGCCUUGCGCUAUCAGAUGAGCCUAGGUCGGAUUAGCUAGUUGGUGAGGUAAUGGCUCACCAAGGCUACGAUCCGUAACUGGUCUGAGAGGAUGAUCAGUCACACUGGAACUGAGACACGGUCCAGACUCCUACGGGAGGCAGCAGUGGGGAAUAUUGGACAAUGGGCGAAAGCCUGAUCCAGCCAUGCCGCGUGUGUGAAGAAGGUCUUCGGAUUGUAAAGCACUUUAAGUUGGGAGGAAGGGCAUUAACCUAAUACGUUAGUGCUUUGACGUUACCGACAGAAUAAGCACCGGCUAACUCUGUGCCAGCAGCCGCGGUAAUACAGAGGGUGCAAGCGUUAAUCGGAAUUACUGGGCGUAAAGCGCGCGUAGGUGGUUUGUUAAGUUGAAUGUGAAAUCCCCGGGCUCAACCUGGGAACUGCAUCCAAAACUGGCAAGCUAGAGUAUGGUAGAGGGGUGGUGGAAUUUCCUGUGUAGCGGUGAAAUGCGUAGAUAUAGGAAGGAACACCAGUGGCGAAGGCGACCACCUGGACUGAUACUGACACUGAG